CUCCCGCGAGAAAUCAGGAGUAUUCGGUUCCGGGGGGAGUAUGGUCGCAAGGCCGAAACUUAAAGGAAUUGACGGAAGGGCACCACCAGGAGUGGAAUCUGCGGCUUAAUUUGACAACGCGGGAAAACUCACCAGGUCAGGACACGGUAAGGAUUGACGGACUGAAGGAUCUUUCUCGAUUCCGUGGAAAGUGGUGCAUGGCCGUUUUGGUUGGUGGAUCGAUCCGUCUGGUUAAUUCCGUUAACGAACGAGACCUCGGCACUCCGAAUAGCGCGGCGGACGUCGCGGCCUCCGGGCCGUCUUCCGCGCGAGCUUCUUAGAGGGACCGUCCCCCGCCGGGGAAGGAGGUUCGAGGCAACGACAGGUCUGUGAUGCCCUUAGAUGUUCUGGGCCGCACGCGCAUUACACUGACGCGUCCAACGGGCGACUCCCGGCCCGAAGGGGUCGGGGAAUCCGCAAGGCGCGUCGUGAUGGGGAUUGAACGUUGCAAUUGUUGUUCACGAACGAGG
rnacentral:rRNA from 1 species